CACGUCACCGGUAGCGAGGCAAGUAUCGAAGAAGCAUGUCGGGGUCUCGUAGACUCACGAUAAUCUACGUACUUUUAGGUAUUUACAUGAUUGGUGCAUUUUUUCUUACGUGAUACGUAGUCCGCAAGAACAGAGUUAGAUCGCGUUAAACGAACACAUCGAUAGAGGGUUCGAUGAAACAAUCGAUGGUCAUUAAGUUGUACAGUAUCCCACCGCAGUAUCCAUAGAGUCUAACGGGAAUCUCGUUAGUUUGCGUGCCAGUUAUUGAUUACGGAUCAUAAGACACGGCGGAAGGUACGCAGCGAGGGCGUGAAGUACGAAAGAGAAAUGGUAGUUAGGAGGGAGCGGAAUAAGCCACAACGAUAGCGUUCGUUUACAGC
rnacentral:lncRNA from 1 species